UAAUAUAUUUCGGGGAGCUAAUGUGCUGAGAGGAGAUUUUAUCUCGACCCUUUGAACCUGUUUGGAUAAUGCCAGUGUAGGGAGACCAGUUAAGAUAAAA
rfam:Clostridium difficile 630 complete genome